ensembl:lncRNA
CUGUGAGUGUCUCCAACACGUUGCAGCCUGUUUGCUCAGCCUGAUAAUGUCUUCACAUAGGACUUAAUGAACUCAUUACCCUUAAUGCCAUCGUAACAAGAGAGCUUGAUUAAUUAAGGGAGACCUGGAAAUGGCAACUUCAAAGCUGGUAGAAAAACUCAGAAUCUGCUCAGGAAUAAUGGUUACUGUGAAGGCGUUCUCUUUAACAGUGACUUUCUCACUACUUUACUUCAGUACAAAGAAAAUAAAAGACUUCAGUGAUGGGAACAGAUUUGGAGAAUCAGGAAACUAAAUCCCAGAGAAAGAAGGACAUGUGGGCCAUGGCCACCUACUUGACAGAGCUAAGCUGUCAAGAACCAAUACUUCCCAUCACAGCAAUACUACUCACAAGUCUGCCCAGCUGGUAGAUAAUUGGUGUCCUGACUGUUCUCCAAGACAAACAGCUAUUCCGAGUGGAGAAAGGCAGAAGAGAAAUCACAGUGUGGAGGAAAUGGCAGCUACUGGUAAAGAAAGAAGGUCAGAGAAAGCCCUUCUGUGCUGGUACCAUUCUGUAUUUUUGAUAAAGUUGUCUGCAAGGCAAACAGAUUGAUGUUAGUCCUUAUCCAGCCACUCAAGCAUUUGCUCCUAUGAACUCAGUUUAAACACACGCUUGCGUAUCUCACUGAAUAAAAUCCCAGCUCUGAAAGUACUUUGGGUGCAACUCACUACAUGACUUAAAACACAUUCCCAAGCAUUGCAGGUUCAGG